rnacentral:rRNA from 1 species
UGGGGAAUAUUGGGCAAUGGGCGAAAGCCUGACCCAGCAACGCCGCGUGAAGGAAGAAGGUUUUCGGAUCGUAAACUUCUAUCCUUGGUGAAGAUAAUGACGGUAGCCAAGAAGGAAGCCCCGGCUAACUACGUGCCAGCAGCCGCGGUAAUACGUAGGGGGCAAGCGUUGUCCGGAAUGAUUGGGCGUAAAGGGCGCGUAGGCGGCCUGGUAAGUCUGGAGUGAAAGUCCUGCUUUUAAGGUGGGAAUUGCUUUGGAUACUGCUGGGCUUGAGUGCAGGAGAGGUAAGUGGAAUUCCCGGUGUAGCGGUGAAAUGCGUAGAGAUCGGGAGGAACACCAGUGGCGAAGGCGACUUACUGGACUGUAACUGACGCUGAGGCGCGAAAGUGUGGGGAGCAAACAG